rnacentral:rRNA from 2 species
AAAUUGAAGAGUUUGAUCAUGGCUCAGAUUGAACGCUGGCGGCAGGCCUAACACAUGCAAGUCGAACGGUAACAGGAAGCAGCUUGCUGCUUCGCUGACGAGUGGCGGACGGGUGAGUAAUGUCUGGGAAACUGCCUGAUGGAGGGGGAUAACUACUGGAAACGGUGGCUAAUACCGCAUAACGUCGCAAGACCAAAGAGGGGGACCUUCGGGCCUCUUGCCAUCAGAUGUGCCCAGAUGGGAUUAGCUUGUUGGUGAGGUAACGGCUCACCAAGGCGACGAUCCCUAGCUGGUCUGAGAGGAUGACCAGCCACACUGGAACUGAGACACGGUCCAGACUCCUACGGGAGGCAGCAGUGGGGAAUAUUGCACAAUGGGCGCAAGCCUGAUGCAGCCAUGCCGCGUGUAUGAAGAAGGCCUUCGGGUUGUAAAGUACUUUCAGCGGGGAGGAAGGUGUUGCGGUUAAUAACCGCAGCAAUUGACGUUACCCGCAGAAGAAGCACCGGCUAACUCCGUGCCAGCAGCCGCGGUAAUACGGAGGGUGCAAGCGUUAAUCGGAAUUACUGGGCGUAAAGCGCACGCAGGCGGUCUGUCAAGUCGGAUGUGAAAUC